AAAAGAACUUUGCGGUGUAACCAUCUUUACAAUUAUAGAACCUAUCCAGGUGCCAAUUCCUUCCGGCUCUACAUCUUGACUCUAUCCUUCAAUCCCUCUAUACAACCUAAGAUAUUUUAACUACUGCUCGAAAUCCAUGUCGAAUCCUAUGAACAAUCUUAUUCUACAUCUCUUUGGCAGACAUGCACACAAAUGGAUCUACAUGACGACAUAGAAGCUUCUCCCGCUUCCCCCCUUCGCCGGCCUCCAAUGGACUCCUGCACAUGUCUCUUCUUCCUUCAACUUGACUGUAAACGCCUUGAUGGCAAUGCUGUAUACACAGAAGUCAUGCAGUAAAUAUGUUCUGAUUGGUUUGA